CUCAAUGGACUGAGACAUGCUACCAUACAGAAUUUCAGUUAUCAGUGGGCAGUUGGGGGAAUUCUUCCAACAGCCUCAGAAUGUCCGCUUUUCCCCAUUGGGCUUAAGAGGGAAGUUGAGAGAGGGCUUCCGAGUACAGUCCUAUGAGCAAAAACUCAGACAUCUUUGAGCGAUAGAAGAGACAACUGGGCCGGGGGCCAGUUCAGUGCGGACCUACAUUUCAACCACCAUGAUGAAGAUGGGGCCUCCACGUGAAAAGUAACUACAAAACAGAACCAGAAAAUAGUCAUGCUGUUCAAACAUUACACUCCAAGAAAAGAAACUCUAGUGUAUAACAGAGGGGCUCUGUCAAAAUUUAACAACAUAAAUAUUGGGCAAAUGAAGUUGUUUCUCUGGUGCUAUCUCAACCUGCCAAUGGAGAAAUAUCUCAAAAAGUCAAGAAUUGAAGCCAUUACUCAGAGACAGCAUCCUAUGGCAUGGUGAUCCAAAACAAGUACACCUCUACCUUUUCCCUUUCAGCCCCAAACCCCAAAACACUGGAGAAUAUUGGGGCAGGCAAGGCCCGUGAAUAGGUGAGCAGAGCUGGAAGAAGAGACUCCUGCCCCUGGUGGGCCUCAGGCUAUUUGUGGAAUGAUGUUUGUGAGAUGAACAUGUUCGCUCCCUCACCCGGAUGUUUUGGACAUAGGAGCCUGGAGUAAAGAGUGUAUAUCUUGGGCUGUCA
rnacentral:lncRNA from 1 species